AGGAACGCAUCUUCGAUGACAUGAACAAUGGCUUUGGCUGGAAUCGAUUGCCAAAAUCGUUCAUGGCACAGAAUACUGUAUUCCUGCUUAUGACAGCUCUCAUCAGAAACUUCUACAAAGCUAUUAUGCAGAGAUUGAAAACCCGUGAAUUUGGAUUGCGUGCCACCAGCAGGAUCAAGACCUUUGUUUUCAAGUUCAUCUCUGUUCCUGCAAAAUGGAUUAAGACAUCACGCAGGCAUGUAUUGAACAUUUACUCAGACAACAAUACUUAUGCCAACCUGUUCA
rnacentral:rRNA from 1 species